CAGCAAAAUAGAGAUGUAGGUGCCUCAAAAGAGGGUAAAAGGGAAGUACGGUGAAAAUCCGUCGCAGCCCCCGCUACUGUAAACAUCGACGAAACCUCAUAAAGUCACUGAUCAUAUUGGGAAGGCGAGGGAGUAGGGUGAAGUGUGAGUCAGGAAACCUGCCUAUGUUGUUAAAUGUCU
rnacentral:ncRNA from 2 species